CCUACGGGUGGCUGCAGUGAGGAAUAUUGGUCAAUGGGAGAGAUCCUGAACCAGCCAAGCCGCGUGCGGGAAGACGGCUCUAUGGGUUGUAAACUUCUUUUGUCGGAGAACAAAACCCGGUACGUGUAUCGGGCUGCGUGUAUCCGAAGAAAAAGCAUCGGCUAACUCCGUGCCAGCAGCCGCGGUAAUACGGAGGAUGCGAGCGUUAUCCGGAUUUAUUGGGUUUAAAGGGUGCGUAGGCGGUUCCGUAAGUUAGCGGGGAAAUGUCCGGGCGUAACCCCGGUCCUGCCGUUAAACUGGGCAGACUUGAGUUGGCGAGAGGUACGCGGAAUGUACGGUGUAGCGGUGAAAUGCAUAGAGAUCGCGCAGAACUCCGAUUGCGAAGGCAGCGUACCAGCGCCAGACUGACGCUGAGGCACGAAAGCGUGGGGAGCGAACAGGAUUAGAUACCCCUGUAGUC
rnacentral:rRNA from 1 species